ACGGAAGGCAGCAGUGGGGAAUAUUGGGCAAUGGGCGAAAGCCUGACCCAGCGACGCCGCGUGAAGGAAGAAGGUCUUCGGAUUGUAAACUUCUUUUAUAUGGGACGAAACAAAUGACGGUACCAUAUGAAUAAGCCACGGCUAACUACGUGCCGGCAGCCGCGGUAAUACGUAGGUGGCAAGCGUUAUCCGGAUUUACUGGGUGUAAAGGGCGUGUAGGCGGCUCUGCAAGUCAGAAGUGAAAUUCCCGGGCUCAACCUGGGCGCUGCUUCUGAAACUGCAGAACUUGAGUACUGGAGGGGAAAGCGGAAUUCCUAGUGUAGCGGUAAAAUGCGCAGAUAUUAGGAGGAACACCGGUGGCGAAGGCGGCUUUCUGGACAGUAACUGACGCUGAGGCGCGAAAGCGUGGGGAGCAAACAGGAUUAGAUACCCUGGUA
rnacentral:rRNA from 1 species